GUUUUCUCUGGAGCUGGAGACGGCCAGACGGAGAUACGUAUAGAUGGUGAACAGAGGCAUCUUUCUGGUGAGGAAAUGGAGACCAAGAAACGUUAAAUGACUGUCCAGAGUAGCAUGUUGGUGUGGGAGCAGCAGCAAGCAAGCGUGACUCU